ACCAGCUUAGCUCAGUGGUAGAGCGCGUCACUAGUACAGAGUACGACCUCCUGCAUCCAAUGCAGCGAUGACGAGGUCAUUGGUUCGAUCCCAGUAUGUGGAA
rfam:Mycosphaerella eumusae strain CBS 114824 scaffold16, whole genome shotgun sequence.